UAUUAAAGAUUUUAUCCAUUUCUACUGUUAAAACAGAAUAACCAUAUAGUUACACUUGGCCUGCCAUGUAUAUCUCAUUCUGAUGUACAGAGAUCAAUUUUUAAUAGAAGAAAUGGAUGAAAUUUUUAUUA
rfam:Gossypium arboreum cultivar AKA8401 contig_8100_1, whole genome shotgun sequence.